rnacentral:rRNA from 1 species
UACGAAGGGGGCGAGCGUUGUUCGGAUUUACUGGGCGUAAAGGGCGCGCAGGCGGCUCAUUUUGUCAGGCGUGAAAGCCCCGGGCUUAACCUGGGAACUGCGUUUGAUACGGAUGGGCUAGAGUUCGGGAGAGGAGAGUGGAAUUCCCAGUGUAGAGGUGAAAUUCGUAGAUAUUGGGAAGAACACCAGUGGCGAAGGCGACUUACUGGACACAUAUUGACGCUGAGGUGCGAAAGCGUGGGGAGCAAACAGG